CCCUCGGGGCCCAACCUACCCACCCGUGUAUACCGUACCUUGUUGCUUCGGCGGGCCCGCCGCGCAAGCGGCCGCCGGGGGGGCGUCAAACCCCCCUCCCUAGGCGAGCGCCCGCCGGAGACACCAACGUGAACACUGUCUGAAGUUUUGUUGUCUGAGUUCGAUUGUAUCGCAAUCAGUUAAAACUUUCAACAAUGGAUCUCUUGGUUCCGGCAUCGAUGAAGAACGCAGCGAAAUGCGAUAAUUAAUGUGAAUUGCAGAAUUCAGUGAAUCAUCGAGUCUUUGAACGCACAUUGCACCCCCUGGUAUUCCGGGGGGUAUGCCUGUCCGAGCGUCAUUGCUGCCCUCAAGCACGGCUUGUGUGUUGGGUCGUCGUCCCCCCGGGGACGGGCCCGAAAGGCAGCGGCGGCACCGCGUCCGGUCCUCGAGCGUAUGGGGCUUUGUCACCCGCUCUUGUAGGCCCGGCCGGCGCUGGCCGACGCUGAAAAGCAACCAACUAUUUCUCCAGGUUGACCUCGGAUCAGGUAGGGAUACCCGCUGAACUUAAGCAUAUCAAUAAGC
rnacentral:misc_RNA from 1 species